rnacentral:rRNA from 1 species
GGUUAAGCGACUAAGCGUACACGGUGGAUGCCCUGGCAGUCAGAGGCGAUGAAGGACGUGCUAAUCUGCGAUAAGCGUCGGUAAGGUGAUAUGAACCGUUAUAACCGGCGAUUUCCGAAUGGGGAAACCCAGUGUGAUUCGUCACACUAUCAUUAACUGAAUCCAUAGGUUAAUGAGGCGAACCGGGGGAACUGAAACAUCUAAGUACCCCGAGGAAAAGAAAUCAACCGAGAUUCCCCCAGUAGCGGCGAGCGAACGGGGAGCAGCCCAGAGCCUGAAUCAGUGUGUGUGUUAGUGGAAGCGUCUGGAAAGGCGCGCGAUACAGGGUGACAGUCCCGUACACAAAAAUGCACAUGCUGUGAGCUCGAUGAGUAGGGCGGGACACGUGGUAUCCUGUCUGAAUAUGGGGGGACCAUCCUCCAAGGCUAAAUACUCCUGACUGACCGAUAGUGAACCAGUACCGUGAGGGAAAGGCGAAAAGAACCCCGGCGAGGGGAGUGAAAAAGAACCUGAAACCGUGUACGUACAAGCAGUGGGAGCACGCUUAGGCGUGUGACUGCGUACCUUUUGUAUAAUGGGUCAGCGACUUAUAUUCUGUAGCAAGGUUAACCGAAUAGGGGAGCCGAAGGGAAACCGAGUCUUAACUGGGCGUUAAGUUGCAGGGUAUAGACCCGAAACCCGGUGAUCUAGCCAUGGGCAGGUUGAAGGUUGGGUAACACUAACUGGAGGACCGAACCGACUAAUGUUGAAAAAUUAGCGGAUGACUUGUGGCUGGGGGUGAAAGGCCAAUCAAACCGGGAGAUAGCUGGUUCUCCCCGAAAGCUAUUUAGGUAGCGCCUCGUGAAUUCAUCUCCGGGGGUAGAGCACUGUUUCGGCAAGGGGGUCAUCCCGACUUACCAACCCGAUGCAAACUGCGAAUACCGGAGAAUGUUAUCACGGGAGACACACGGCGGGUGCUAACGUCCGUCGUGAAGAGGGAAACAACCCAGACCGCCAGCUAAGGUCCCAAAGUCAUGGUUAAGUGGGAAACGAUGUGGGAAGGCCCAGACAGCCAGGAUGUUGGCUUAGAAGCAGCCAUCAUUUAAAGAAAGCGUAAUAGCUCACUGGUCGAGUCGGCCUGCGCGGAAGAUGUAACGGGGCUAAACCAUGCACCGAAGCUGCGGCAGCGACGCUGAUGUGUUGUUGGGUAGGGGAGCGUUCUGUAAGCCUGCGAAGGUGUGCUGUGAGGCAUGCUGGAGGUAUCAGAAGUGCGAAUGCUGACAUAAGUAACGAUAAAGCGGGUGAAAAGCCCGCUCGCCGGAAGACCAAGGGUUCCUGUCCAACGUUAAUCGGGGCAGGGUGAGUCGACCCCUAAGGCGAGGCCGAAAGGCGUAGUCGAUGGGAAACAGGUUAAUAUUCCUGUACUUGGUGUUACUGCGAAGGGGGGACGGAGAAGGCUAUGUUGGCCGGGCGACGGUUGUCCCGGUUUAAGCGUGUAGGCUGGUUUUCCAGGCAAAUCCGGAAAAUCAAGGCUGAGGCGUGAUGACGAGGCACUACGGUGCUGAAGCAACAAAUGCCCUGCUUCCAGGAAAAGCCUCUAAGCAUCAGGUAACAUCAAAUCGUACCCCAAACCGACACAGGUGGUCAGGUAGAGAAUACCAAGGCGCUUGAGAGAACUCGGGUGAAGGAACUAGGCAAAAUGGUGCCGUAACUUCGGGAGAAGGCACGCUGAUAUGUAGGUGAAGUCCCUCGCGGAUGGAGCUGAAAUCAGUCGAAGAUACCAGCUGGCUGCAACUGUUUAUUAAAAACACAGCACUGUGCAAACACGAAAGUGGACGUAUACGGUGUGACGCCUGCCCGGUGCCGGAAGGUUAAUUGAUGGGGUUAGCGCAAGCGAAGCUCUUGAUCGAAGCCCCGGUAAACGGCGGCCGUAACUAUAACGGUCCUAAGGUAGCGAAAUUCCUUGUCGGGUAAGUUCCGACCUGCACGAAUGGCGUAAUGAUGGCCAGGCUGUCUCCACCCGAGACUCAGUGAAAUUGAACUCGCUGUGAAGAUGCAGUGUACCCGCGGCAAGACGGAAAGACCCCGUGAACCUUUACUAUAGCUUGACACUGAACAUUGAGCCUUGAUGUGUAGGAUAGGUGGGAGGCUUUGAAGUGUGGACGCCAGUCUGCAUGGAGCCGACCUUGAAAUACCACCCUUUAAUGUUUGAUGUUCUAACGUUGACCCGUAAUCCGGGUUGCGGACAGUGUCUGGUGGGUAGUUUGACUGGGGCGGUCUCCUCCUAAAGAGUAACGGAGGAGCACGAAGGUUGGCUAAUCCUGGUCGGACAUCAGGAGGUUAGUGCAAUGGCAUAAGCCAGCUUGACUGCGAGCGUGACGGCGCGAGCAGGUGCGAAAGCAGGUCAUAGUGAUCCGGUGGUUCUGAAUGGAAGGGCCAUCGCUCAACGGAUAAAAGGUACUCCGGGGAUAACAGGCUGAUACCGCCCAAGAGUUCAUAUCGACGGCGGUGUUUGGCACCUCGAUGUCGGCUCAUCACAUCCUGGGGCUGAAGUAGGUCCCAAGGGUAUGGCUGUUCGCCAUUUAAAGUGGUACGCGAGCUGGGUUUAGAACGUCGUGAGACAGUUCGGUCCCUAUCUGCCGUGGGCGCUGGAGAACUGAGGGGGGCUGCUCCUAGUACGAGAGGACCGGAGUGGACGCAUCACUGGUGUUCGGGUUGUCAUGCCAAUGGCACUGCCCGGUAGCUAAAUGCGGAAGAGAUAAGUGCUGAAAGCAUCUAAGCACGAAACUUGCCCCGAGAUGAGUUCUCCCUGACUCCUUGAGAGUCCUGAAGGAACGUUGAAGACGACGACGUUGAUAGGCCGGGUGUGUAAGCGCAGCGAUGCGUUGAGCUAACCGGUACUAAUGAACCGUGAGGCUUAACCUU